rnacentral:rRNA from 1 species
GACGAACGCUGGCGGCGUGCUUAACACAUGCAAGUGGAGCGACGAACCGGGCUUCGGCCCGGGGCAAAGCCGCGAACGGGUGAGUAACACGUGGGCAACCUGCCCCGAUGACCGGGACAACCCGAGGAAACUCGGGCUAAUACCGGAUGUGCUCCCGUCCCAUGAGGGACGGAUGGAAAGGAAGCUUCGGCCUCCGCAUCGGGAUGGGCCCNCGGCGCAUUAGCUUGUUGGUGGGGUAACGCCUACCAAGGCGACGAUGCGUAGCUGGUCUGAGAGGACGAUCAGCCACACUGGGACUGAGACACGGCCCAGACUCCUACGGGAGGCAGCAGUGGGGAAUCCUGCACAAUGCGCGAAAGCGUGAUGCAGCAACGCCGCGUGCGGGAAGACGGCCU